AUGGAACGUAAAAAACAAUGGUUUGACACACUGAAAAAUGAAAUUAGCAACAGUCCUCUUGUGUCAAAUGUGGCUUUUGGUUUUAUCCUCAUGGGACUAGAGAAGCUGGUGGAGCUGGAGUUUCAGUGUCCUUGCAAUCCUAAAUGGAACGGACUGUUUUCAUCAGCAUUCUUCAUCAUUCCCGCCAUCAUGGCCUUCAUCUUGAUGUUGAUCAUUCAAGGACGCAGAUGUGAUGAGUCCAGCAGGUUGAUCACUCAAGGAUACAGACGUUAUGAGUCCAGCAGGUUGAUCAUUCAAGGAUGCAGAUGGGAUGAGUGGUUCAAGAAGACUGUGUCCAGUUCCGUGCCUGCUAUCGUGUGGCUGAUCUCGUUGUUCCUCGACGGCCAGUACUUCGCCUGUGCUAUGACAGACUGGGAGGGUAGAUUUGUACUCGUUGACAAGGCAGCUCCACAGAAGUGGUGUAAGCCAAUUAGUGAAGGAAAUUUCACCACACAAGAGCUGAUGCUCCGCUCACAAGAGUGGAUUUUUAAGUCUCAGAACACAAAACAUCGUACUAGAGCAGCAAAGGUCAUGAGAAUGAGCAGCGUGAUUCCAGCUAGAAGAGCAUCACGUCUACAGAGUGAUAGGAAUACCAGGGCAGCCUGUAGGACUCAGUCCUCAGGUGAGCUGCACCUUCUGUGUCUCAUGACAAACUCUAUCCAGAAGAGGGCGCUGUCCAUUGGCUUUAUCGGCGCGUCUCUGUGCAGUCUGGAGAGCCUCUGCAUGUUCAUCCUGUAGGAGGGAUCGUUCAAAACUCUCUUCACAGCUGCCAGGAAGUUGUCGUCCUUGUCCACAGUCCUAAGGCUCAGAAUCUCAGCUCCUCCUCUCUCUUUCAGACGCAAGCAGGUUGUCAUAUUGGUCAAAAAACCACAGGUAGACUACAACUGGGACUCCAUGAUACAUAGCUUCCUGAACUCCGUUCGUUCCUCCGUGAGCCACAAACAGUUUUGUUUUGGGAUGUCCUAAGAGAUCAUUCUGAGGCAUCCAGUCCACCAGUAAAGUGUUGUUUGCCCAGAGUUUGCUGGUCUGUCCCCUUCAUGUUUCCAGAUGAUCUUCUGAGGCAAUUAGCAAAAGCUGCAGCCGA
rnacentral:lncRNA from 1 species